rnacentral:ncRNA from 2 species
AUCGAGUUAAGAGCAGCCGGUGCCGCUGUCCGCCUGUGCGGACAGUGGGUAAAAGGGAAACAGGUGAAAUGCCUGUACGAUCUCGUCACUGUAAGUAAGGAGCGUAUAAUCUGUGUCAUUGUAAGCCACUGAGCCGUUUGGUUUGGGAAGGCGGUUAUACGUGUUGAUAGACAAGUCAGGAAACCUGCCGUCUGUUGGUACAGGAA